UGUAUGCAAUAUUCAUUGGGGCAGUUGAGGUUAUUCUGGGUUGGGGUUCAGCGGUGGGCAAAUUUGUUAAUAGCUGCAUACCUUAAAUGUAAAAUGUGUGAGGUGACAUGUCAAGAAGCUCACCAAAGUCAAUUUAUAGCCCUUGUUGAGGCAAAGGGAGAAGAUUGUUUUAUCUUAGCCCCGAUGACUACGAGUCGACGACAGUGUACCGGCAAUGGGUAACAUACACCGAUGGGUUAAAUGUCAGCUGGAAGCCUUCUUUAGGCAAGGGGGGCAGCCUAACCCUCGCGUGAGAGGCGAAGCUCGUGGUCAAGCUUCCAUUCAUGUUGAGCCACGACGUCGCAAUUGGACGAGGCGAGAUUCUGGCAAGCGCCAAAGACCACCACCAUCAUCCUCAUCAAGCAGUAGUCGUCUCGAGCACAGAACGGUGGUCGUGAUCACCCCGUAGAUUUCAAUUGUAGGCCUCACAAAGGCAGUAGAGAUUCGAGACAUAAGCACCAAAUAAACAGUAGUCAUGAUUAGUGAGCACGGCUGCAGGGUAUGAUUCAUGAGAGUGAGGCCAAAAUUGAGAGAAAUAUUGAGGAAAAGUUGUUUCUGAAGAUCAAGCGUUGGUUCGAUGAGAAGUGGAAUAUAUCCGCACAAGAAUUGAGAGAAAUAUUGAGAAAAAGUUGUUUCUGAAGAUCAAGCGUUGGUUCGAGAAGAAGAUAGAUUAGAUUAGGGGAUGCGUAUAUGCUUACACCUCAUCCACGCUCUCACUCGGACAGGAGACGCGAAGAGACACAAACUCAUAGCUCUUCGUCGACCACUCCAUCUUCAGCGGCCGAACAGGUGCAGACCCUAUAGGAUCAUCCGAGUUAUGAGCAAAACGGACCCGCCUCAGUGGCAGUCAGGAAAUUGCCAAACAUGUAGAAUGGCUUAUCGUAACUUUAGCUAUUGUCGUUUUCUUUGUUUUAAUCCGAAAACGACAAUGGCAUUGGCAUACAGCUCAACACCAGCUUAAAUAAUUGAAGCCAUUUUCGGCCUUAACUUUCAAUACAACUGUCCAAGUACACACAGAUCUCGAACCUCCUUCUCAUUUAUUAUUCUUCUUCUUCUUCUCUUUCCUUUUAUGUCGACGAAAACAAGGAAACAUUUUUCUGAUUUUUUUGGAUGUAGCCGUGAAUGGUUGGUACAGGAUGAUGGUCGUUCAAGGAAUGGAUUUGAGCUUGCUCUCGAUUUCUAGAUUGUAAUCGAAAUCUAAUAGGGAACCUCGAGAUAAGGGUGGGUGUUUUGGAAUUUAUUUUUACAUGAUCGAUCAUAUAUUAGUAUAUCUUUUCUUAUUUGUAACUUAAUUAUGCGGAUAAUCAAUCUGUACAUUAUGGCAUUGAGGCAUAGGCUAAUCGGUAGUGCAAACUUAUGUAAUGGUGUUACUGGAGAGAAAGCCAUCAUAUUGGACUACGAUUUUUUCGUAAGUAUAAAAAAUAUAGAUUUUUUUGUAC